CUCGAGUCCCAGUGCCAGAAAUAUCGUAGAGACUUGGUAUCGUGAGAAGUCCAACUACGAUUACGGCGACAACAGUUGCUCUGGAUCUUGUGGUCAUUACACACAGAUAGUGUGGGCUGAGACGACCGCCGUAGGAUGUGGAAUUAAAGACUGCUCCACUAUUAAAAACUCACAAAUAAACAACGGCUACCUUGUUGUUUGUCAGUAUGGACCAGGAGGUAACAUUUCUGGCAAAAGACCUUAUCUGAAAG
rnacentral:sRNA from 1 species